GAUGAACGCUGGCGGCGUGCCUAAUACAUGCAAGUCGAGCGAACAGACGAGGAGCUUGCUCCUCUGACGUUAGCGGCGGACGGGUGAGUAACACGUGGAUAACCUACCUAUAAGACUGUGAUAACUUCGGGAAACCGGAGCUAAUACCGGAUAAUAUAUUGAACCGCAUGGUUCAAUAGUGAAAGACGGUUUUGCUGUCACUUAUAGAUGGAUCCGCGCCGCAUUAGAUAGUUGGUAAGGUAACGGCUUACCAAGGCAACGAUGCGUAGCCGACCUGAGAGGGUGAUCGGCGCCACUGGAACUGAGCCACGGUCCAGACUCCUACGGGAGGCAGCAGUAGGGAAUCUUCCGCAAUGGGCGAAAGCAUGACGGAGCAACGCCGCGUGAGUGAUGAAGGUCCUCGGAUCGUAAAACUCUGUUAUUAGGGAAGAACAAAUGUGUAAGUAACUAUGCACGUCUUGACGGUACCUAAUCAGAAAGCCACGGAUAACUACGUG
rnacentral:rRNA from 1 species